UACGGGGGGAGCAAGCGUUGUUCGGAAUUACUGGGCGUAAAGGGCGCGUAGGCGGCCAGCACAAGUCAGUUGUGAAAUCUCCGAGCUUAACUCGGAAAGGUCAACUGAUACUGUGCGGCUAGAGUGCGGAAGGGGCAACUGGAAUUCUUGGUGUAGCGGUGAAAUGCGUAGAUAUCAAGAGGAACACCAGUGGCGAAGGCGAGUCUCUGGACAUUUCCUGACGCUGAGGCACGAAAGCCAGGGGAGCAAACGGG
rnacentral:rRNA from 1 species